rnacentral:rRNA from 1 species
GACGAACGCUGGCGGCGUGCCUAACACAUGCAAGUCGAGCGGGGUUGAAGCGAGGGGUAACUCGGACUUCUACCUAGCGGCGGACGGGUGAGUAACGCGUGGGCAACCUGCCUCAAGGUUUGGGAUAACAGCUCGAAAGGGCUGCUAAUACCGGAUAUGCCUGUGGCCUCGCAUGGGGGCUAUGAGCAAAGGGGAAACCCGCCUUGAGAUGGGCCCGCGUCCCAUCAGCUAGUUGGUGAGGUGAAGGCUCACCAAGGCGACGACGGGUAGCCGGCCUGAGAGGGUGACCGGCCACACUGGGACUGAGACACGGCCCAGACUCCUACGGGGGGCAGCAGUGGGGGAUCUUGCACAAUGGGCGAAAGCCUGAUGCAGCGACGCCGCGUGAGCGAAGAAGGCCUUCGGUUGUAAGCUCUGUCUGGAGGGACGAAGAAAUGACGGUACCGUCCGGAGGAAGACCACGGCGUAACUACGUAGCGAGCAGCCGCGGUAAACUCGUCUCUA